AGAGACAGCAGCAGCCGCGGGAAUACGGAGGAUCCAAGCGUUAUCCGGAAUCAUUGGGUUUAAAGGGUCCGUAGGCGGUCUUGUAAGUCAGUGGUGAAAGCCCAUCGCUCAACGGUGGAACGGCCAUUGAUACUGCAGGACUUGAAUUAUUGGGAAGUAACUAGAAUAUGUAGUGUAGCGGUGAAAUGCUUAGAGAUUACAUGGAAUACCAAUUGCGAAGGCAGGUUACUACCAAUUGAUUGACGCUGAUGGACGAAAGCGUGGGUAGCGAACAGGAUUAGAUACCCGUGUAGUCCCUGUCUCUUAUAC
rnacentral:rRNA from 1 species